GGAGUAAAGCUUGUCAUGAGGGGUCAGCCGAGGUCAUAGUACUUAAGUAGACUUCACUUAAGGAAGGAC
rnacentral:ncRNA from 1 species